GUAUUGUAAUGCGUUAAACGCGACAUUCAUUCCAUGGGACUUUAUUACAGUGUGUGUGUGUGUGUAAAGACGUAGGACCACAGCAAGAGGACGGGGUCCCCGAGGCCAUGGAACUACAGAGAGUGCACAGGUGUGAGUGGAUGUGUAAACAGAGCGUGCACAUGCCCCUUUUGAGGACCAGCAACAACUCGUGUCGACGGUUCAGUAAUGAUCCUUCCGCAGGUUCACCUACGGAAA
rnacentral:misc_RNA from 1 species